CAGUCACAGUCCCUGCCGCUGGUUGCUGGGCUCAAAUCCCCUCCAGCAACUCCACCGGCCAAUGGGAGGCGGCCAGGCUGAGAGCGCCCCCUCCGGGAGGGCCUGAGGGGCAGCAGCCGGCAGUGGGGCAGGCGGUGGGGAGGGCAGGCACGCUGGGUCCUGCAGUCGGAGUUGUAGCUAGCCCUCUGAAUGUUUUUUUUACUCAGGAAAUUUUUAAUUAAAAUAAUCAAGACUCGGGGCUUCUCUGGACAAAUUGGAAGACCCCCUAACACCGGGCAUCCCUGACCACAGGGCAACAGUUAGCUGGGGCUGAGAAACAGCUGCUCCCUUCAAGGAAACUGAGGCUCACAGAAGCUAACUUCUCCAAGGCCACCCAGCCAAGGUUUGAGUCCAGACCGUCUGGCUCCAGAACCCACACACUUGACCACUCCACCGUACAGUCCCCAGCUGAGAGGAGACGCUGGAAUUUAGAGCCACAUUUUACAGCUGAAGAAACGAAGCCUAGGAAGAAAGAGUGAUUUCUGCCUUCUAGCUGCUGCAUCCGUUAAGCCUUCCCAGCCCUCUUCAGCCCAGAAUGGCCCCUCUCUCUGAACCCAGGCUCUUACUAUCCAUGUAACCUCAUUUGGCAAUUAAUCCCAGCACCUCCUGACACUGCUUGCAUGGCUGGUUAACUCUUCCAUUGGUAAAGCAUUUUAAGUGUCCCCAUCCCAGCUCCACCACAAGACUGGAGGCUGCUUGAGGACAGGGACUGGGGACCAGGGCUCCCCUUCUUUGUUCUCCACCACAGCACCUGGCAGCGAGCCUGGCACAUAGUAGGUGCUCAGAACUCCGUGUUGAUUGAGUGACUGAUUGGGAAUCAGUGAGGGGAUAUUAGGGAGCAUGGGGGUGAGAGCGACUGCAGUGGUAACAGAAGCAAGAGCGGCAGCUGAGGGGACUGGGGGAGGGCAUUUUACCCGGAGUAAAAAUAGGCUGGAAAAUGUGACAUUUAUUAACUUGGAUUCCGGAAGAAAGGUCACAGCAGAGUGGGGAGUGGGAAGGAGGAAAUGGGGAAAGCAACAGAAAACACAUACCUUCCCCAAAGCGCGUCGUUGUCUCUGACCAUCUCAGCACACGUGCCCUGGCAGGUUCCCACCACUGAUUCCUGCACCCAUCACCCCUCCAUCGAUCCCAAAUCCCCAUCAUGGGCUCCAUAUUCUCACCACGGAGUCUACUGUGGACCUCAUGUCCUCAUCAGAGACCCCUGAUGUCUUUGCCUCCAUACCCCUUCUCCAGUCUUGCCCACACAAUACACCCCCAUCUUCCCCGUUACCGUGGAUCAUCCCAUCCCAACCAUAAUCCCAGACCCUUGUAAACUGGCAGCAGACUCAGCCUUAGAAUGCCAGGUCCAAGGGAGAGUUACACUCAGCACAUGGGGGGUGGGGUUUGGGCAGAAGGGUAUGGGGACUAGGCUGAGUGGGGGGGACAGGAAUUCCCCAGGGGACAGGUGGGUCCAAGGGG